rnacentral:rRNA from 1 species
UACGUAGGGUGCGAGCGUUGUCCGGAAUUAUUGGGCGUAAAGGGCUCGUAGGCGGUUUGUCGCGUCGGGAGUGAAAUCCACUGGCUUAACUGGUGGCUUGCUUUCGAUACGGGCAGACUGGAGGUAUGCAGGGGAGAACGGAAUUCCUGGUGUAGCGGUGAAAUGCGCAGAUAUCAGGAGGAGCACCGAUGGCGAAGGCAGGUCUCUGGGCAUUAACUGACGCUGAGGAGCGAAAGCAUGGGGAGCGAACAGG